AACGAACGCUGGCGGCAUGCCUAACACAUGCAAGUCGAACGAGACCUUCGGGUCUAGUGGCGCACGGGUGCGUAACGCGUGGGAACCUGCCCUUAGGUUCGGAAUAACUCCCCGAAAGGGGUGCUAAUACCGGAUAAUGUCUUCGGACCAAAGAUUUAUCGCCUUUGGAUGGGCCCGCGUUGGAUUAGCUAGUUGGUAGGGUAAAAGCCUACCAAGGCGACGAUUCAUAGCUGGUCUGAGAGGAUGAUCAGCCACACUGGGACUGAGACACGGCCCAGACUCCUACGGGAGGCAGCAGUGGGGAAUAUUGGACAAUGGGCGGAAGCCUGAUCCAGCAAUGCCGCGUGAGUGAUGAAGGCCUUAGGGUUGUAAAGCUCUUUUACCCGGGAUGAUAAUGACAGUACCGGGAGAAUAAGCUCCGGCUAACUCCGUG
rnacentral:rRNA from 1 species